rnacentral:lncRNA from 1 species
CUUGGAACUCGGAUGCUACCUGUCGACAACAAGGAGGAAAGCGAAGCAUAUGAUGACGAAGGACAUGGCAUAGGCUUGGGGUCCUUCCAGCUGUAGGCGGUGCAAUGUCUGAUGUCGGGUUGACCACAGGCUGCGCCCAUCGCUCGGGCUCGUAGUUGCAGGUUGCUGGUCGGCAGGAAUCACGGCCCAGCGAGGCUCGGCUAGCUGCAUGUGGGAUAAUUGUGUUUGGCCACGUAGUUGAACAGGGAAGGGCCAUUGGGAAGUCUGAAUGGCGGACACAAUUACUUGGUGCAAGAGCAGCGAUUAUUGCGUCAAGACCCUACGCCCAAAUGGAUCUAUUGAAGUCCGGAGGAAGGGUACUGGAGACUAAACGUAUCCGAGUGGGUGUUGUUGUAGAAAGAAAGCGGUCAGCAGCGCUUGAUGGGCCCGUAAUACCUUACACUACCUAACGUACUGAUAACUACAUGUCAACAUGGCUGCGGAAGACACGUCUUGGUGAUCUCCACCCUACCCGUCACUUGCACCAAAACACGUUGCCUGCCCAGAGCGCCACUUUAAAUUCUUAGCUGAUGCUGCGACGAUCGCCGGAGGCCCGAGGGAGGACUCGCAUGCAGCAGGGCCACACCAGGGAAUGACCGGAGCAGAGACCGAAGCCCAUCAUAUAUUGGUGCAUAUGUUGUUUCUUUGUCAGUAACUCUAGUCAAGUGCCAAGCGAGCUGUCCUCAGCCUUACUAGGAGAUUGCCACACUGAGAUCAGCAUGUAGGCCUUAAAGUUUUAAUAAGGAAGUUUUGAUAAACAUAAUCCCCGUCCUUCGCCUUUGCGGGGCCGAGGAGCCUUCGCAGCCUGUCAGAAUCCAAAAACUAGUUACGACCUUCUGU